UUUCGGUUGAAAGGUUAAAGUGGAUGAGUACGUUUAAGUUGCGGAACAGUAGAAAAUAUUAUUUAAUAUAUAAAACUUAACAUUUAAAAUGGCAGCUGCUAAAGAACUCUUGCAGAUGGAUCUUUACGGUUUGCUCGGGCUUGAAGAAACAGCGUCCGAAAAAGAGGUGAAAAAAGCAUACAGGCAGAAAGCUCUAACAUGCCAUCCAGACAAGAACCCGGACAACCCCAAAGCAGCGGAGCUCUUCCACCAGCUGUCCCAAGCACUAGAGGUGCUGACAGAUGCAGCAGCUCGGGCUGCUUAUGACAAGAUCCGCAAGGCGAAGAAGCAGGCUGAGGAAAGGACCCAGAGGCUGGAUGAAAAGAGAAAGAAGAUCAAGUUAGAUUUGGAGGCGCGCGAGAGGGAGGCUGAGGCCCAGAGUGCUGAGGAGGUCAAAAUCACUCGCACAUUAGAAGAGGAGAUUGGCCGUCUGAGAGAGGAAGGGUCCCGGCAGCUGCAGGAGGAGCAGAGGCUGAUUAAGGAGCAGAUCCAGAGGGAAAGAGAGAUGAAACAGUAUGGAGUCUCCACACCACCUGGUGCUUUGGGGGGAGAGCGAUCGGACAGCAACAUGACCCCAAAAUUAAAACUAAAGUGGAAGAGUAAGAAAGAUGAUGAAACCAAUGGCGGCUACUCUCACGAAUUCCUGCUCAGCCUUCUGCAGAAGUAUGGUGAUGUGUUGAAUGUGCUGGUAUCGAGAAAGAAGAAAGGGAGUGCUGUGGUUGAGUUUGCCACUUUCAAAGGCGCUGAACUGGCAUAUAGGAAUGAAAUGGGCCUGACAGGAAACCCGCUGAAGAUUUCCUGGCUGGAGGGACGGCCGGAGGCUACAGCAACAGAAUCGUACAGGCAGUCUGCGGAUGGCUCUUUCAGGCCAGUCCAGGGUUCCUUGAGCAGCGAGCGGGACUACGAGAGCGUGGUGCUGAUGCGAAUGAGGCAGGCAGCUGAGAGGCAGCGACUGAUCGAGGAGAUGCAAAGGGAGGAUGAGGAGGAAAAGCUGGCUGCCCAGGCUUAGCCCUUGUCUAUUUACACUUUGACCCCUUGAGCCGCAAGAACUCUUGACUGUUUUCCUGGCUUUAGUUUUUAAAAGCCAGAUUUUUUAUUUGUUUUAAACUUACUUUUUUGAAGGUGUAAUUUAAAAGCUGUUGGAUAAAUAAACAGAAAAAUGGUGACAUUCACAGGACUGAAAGUGGCAGUGAAGUCUGCCAACAUUCAACAGCCCCUUCGUAAGACCACACUGAGACUCACCGGCUCCAUCAGAAGAGGAUAAAGGCAUUUUCCAGAAGGGCUGAUCUAAUUAUAGGACAAUUAUAGAAACACCCCAUGCUGACUGACGAUGAUGACCAACUGCCAUAAUGGACAAGACGUAUGUUGCAGGACUGGAAAAUCAAGCUACCGUACAGCAACAAUGCCAUUAUUUUCUAUAAACUGACUUAGAAUUCAUAUUUAAUCUAUAAUGCCCAGGAGGGUGGGCAGCCACUGGCACUUGGACCCCCAGAGGUUUUCUUCCCGUCCCUUGACCUUCAGUUCAGAGUUUUUUGUUCCUUUCCUCCGUGGCCAGUAGGCAUAAUUAUAGCUUUAAUAAAUGCAUUGAUAAUUUGUUAUGCUAGACUGUAGUCAACUGUCGUCUUUGUUGAAUUGGACAGAAUUGGAUUUCAGUUAAUAAAUUUGACAUUGUUUGUUCAUUUUAUU